ACCAUGGCAGUGCUUGCUGCUGGGGCUGGCGGCUUGCUCGCCUGGGCGACUAGUUCUGGCCUGGUCAGUCGGCGGCCGACAUCCUGUCUGGGGCGGCGUCCCACAGACGGUAAACGUACCUUCUGUGUGAUGUCAACCCUCCAGAGGGCUUCAGCCUCCGUAGAAGCGUCUGUAUCCACAUCGCCUUCCUCCUGAAGACCCUGCUGAAAAUGGAGGAAUCGGUGCUGGUGAUACCCCCUUGGGGCCUCCUCUACCAUUGGCAGAGCCUGGACAUCCACCAGGUCCGGAUUCCCUGGUCUGACUUUUUUGAUCUCUCAAGUCUCAACAGAAACAUCCCUGACACUGAGUACGAACCGUUCAUUGCAGGUGAGAUGGUGAUCGUUUAACUGGGGCCAGACGGUUGUUGUUCUGGUUCCGAUGUGAACAUCAGGCCAUCUUGCUUCGGGCUUGUCGGUCUGCUAAGGGGUCCUGCUCAUGUUUCCCGCACUGCAGGUGAAUUUGGUCUUUCCAUAGUUUUUCUCAGGAAAUAGAUCUGAAGUGUAUGAGAUCUGUGUUCCCUCCGCUCUGAAAAUCCUGGCCUCCUGGUGAGAUGGAGCGGUGACAAGAAGGCCACUGCCACACAGGCCUUGUCUAAGGAGGACUCGCUCCCUGGACAGUAAGGGCCAUUCUUACCUGAAGGAAAACACGAUGUGUGUGUAGCAUGGGCCACGUGCUGGAGAAGAGAGUGAGAAUCACCUCUGAAGGCGGAGGAAGAAAGUUGGAGGUGCGGGGCACAAAGUCUUUUGUCCUUUUGCUACUGAAAAAAUGAUUGCUUUUGUAAUUAGUGAUGAUGCCCUUUAAAUUGGUGAGAUCGAGAUUCUACAGCUUCAGCGCCUGUGAAUAACCAGCCGGGAGAAAGCUCUCCAGGGCCCCUGCAGUGGGAAAGGCAGCCCCUCUGAGCACCUGUUGUUCUGUAUUCUUCCUGACUCCACAUGGGUUUGCUACGCACCGCACCGUGCAGGACGAUGCAGUUACCCGAGGUGGAGGACAGGGAGACCCCUGCUGUGUGGCGAGCCACAGGAGCCCACAUUUGAAGGACAAAAUGAAGAGUAGUGGGGCGGGCAUAGGAGGAGAGGAUGGUUGAGACCCAGGAUGGUGUCCUGGAGUCCAGCAGGCGAGGCUGGCGGGGCAGAUGGGGCCCUGGGGCAUGGGCAGUCCUUGAGGGAUCUGAAGCAAAGAUAUGAACCAAGAGACUGGAUUCGUGUGGGCGUACAGCGCCCCCUGGAGGCCGCGGGGCAGUGCAGCAAGCCCAGGAGGAGCGGGCAGUUCCCCAGAUUUGGGUUGACAGGUCACAACCAAUUCACUGGGGACCGAGAGGUACCGAGAUAUUGUUAACUUUUUGUCCCUCUUCCUGGAAAAAAGCUGCUUCCUGUUGAAUAGCCUGUGUCGUUAGUGAGAAUUAAAGACAUGAAGCAACAUUUCCUCAAAUGUCAUCCAUUGUGUAGUUGUUAAUAAGGGUCAAAUGCAGACUUGAAUAGACUAAAUCAAAUAUUCAUCAUCGGAUUUUAAAAUCCUUUAAAAUAAAAAUUCUUGCUGUCUUUGUUCUUCAUUUCAGGGUUCACUUGGUGAUAAUAAUAGUAAACAAAGCAACAGCAAACCCUUACAGAACUCUGUCCUGCUGUUCCAGGAACUCUGUGUUCACGACAACCCAAUGAGGUGGCACUUUACAGGAAGGACAGUCAUUAAUCACAUAGCUAGUAAAUGGCAGACCUGGGACUUGAACCCAAGCUGUCUGGCCCCAGAGCCCCCUCUCAGGCCUUUCAUUGCAGCUCAUCACUUGGCAUGCCCGACACAGGCCAGCAUUAAGGAGCAGCGUGAC